CUCGUAGGCGGUCUGUCGCGUCGGAUGUGAAAAUCCAGGGCUCAACCCUGGACCUGCAUUCGAUACGGGCAGACUAGAGUUCGGUAGGGGAGACUGGAAUUCCUGGUGUAGCGGUGAAAUGCGCAGAUAUCAGGAGGAACACCGGUGGCGAAGGCGGGUCUCUGGCCGAAACUGACGCUGAGGAGCGAAAGCGUGGGAGCGAACA
rnacentral:rRNA from 1 species